rnacentral:rRNA from 1 species
AGUGAACGCUGGCGGUAGGCCUAACACAUGCAAGUCGAACGGCAGCACAGUAAGAGCUUGCUCUUACGGGUGGCGAGUGGCGGACGGGUGAGGAAUACAUCGGAAUCUACUUUUUCGUGGGGGAUAACGUAGGGAAACUUACGCUAAUACCGCAUACGACCUACGGGUGAAAGCAGGGGAUCUUCGGACCUUGCGCGAUUGAAUGAGCCGAUGUCGGAUUAGCUAGUUGGCGGGGUAAAGGCCCACCAAGGCGACGAUCCGUAGCUGGUCUGAGAGGAUGAUCAGCCACACUGGAACUGAGACACGGUCCAGACUCCUGCGGGAGGCAGCAGUGGGGAAUAUUGGACAAUGGGCGCAAGCCUGAUCCAGCCCUACCGCGUGGGUGAAGAAGGCCUUCGGGUUGUAAAGCCCUUUUGUUGGGAAAGAAAAGCAGCAGGUUAAUACCCCGCUGUUCUGACGGUACCCAAAGAAUAAGCACCGGCUAACUUCGUG